rnacentral:rRNA from 1 species
CAAUAGCUACUUGCAUCAUUGUAAAUAUGAUGCAAGAUCGACUAUGUCGAAUAAAAUUCUAGGUAGAAUUAUGAUAAUGACAUUGUCUGCCUAUGUGUCUUGACCAAAUUACGUGCCAGCAGUCGCGGUAAUACGUAGAAGACUAGUGUUAUUCAUGUUUAAUCGGUUUAAAGGGUACCUAGACGGUAAAUCAAGCCUAAAAGGAAAUAAAUGAAGGGACUAAUUUACUAGAGUUACUUAUGAGGGGGUAUUAAAGUACUGCUGGUGUAGAGAUGAAAUUCUGUCAUACCUCUUUUCAAUAGAAAAAUAAUGGCACAGGUAUAGGCGAAAGCAUCCCCUUAUGUGAUAACUGACGUUGAGGGACGAAGGCUUUGUGUAGCGAACAGGAUUAGAUACCCCAGUAGUCAAAGCAGAAAAUGAUGAAUGUCAUAGAUUAGAUAUAUAAGUUUAUUCUAUAAAUGAAAGUGUAAGCAUUCCACCUCAAGAGUAAUUUGGCAACAUUGGAACUGAAAUCAUUAGACCGUUUCUGAAACCAGUAGUGAAGUAUGUUGUUUAAUUUGAUGAUCCGCAAAAAACCUUACCACAAUUUGAAUAUUUAUAUCUUUUAUUGUUUUUCUUUUUAACUUUAUUCUUAUUUUCUACUUAAAAGAAAACAAUGACAAGAAAAAAGAGGCAAUAAGAUAUA